UACGUAGGGGGCUAGCGUUGUCCGGAUUUAUUGGGCGUAAAGAGCGUGUAGGCGGCCCGGUAAGUCCGCUGUGAAAGUCGGGGGCUCAACCCUCGAAUGCCGGUGGAUACUGUCGGGCUAGAGUGCGGAAGAGGCGAGUGGAAUUCCUGGUGUAGCGGUGAAAUGCGCAGAUAUCAGGAGGAACACCGAUUGCGAAGGCAGCUCGCUGGGACGUCACUGACGCUGAGACGCGAAAGCGUGGGGAGCAAACAGG
rnacentral:rRNA from 1 species